rnacentral:rRNA from 1 species
GACGAACGCUGGCGGCGUGCUUAACACAUGCAAGUGGAGCGAGAACCGGGGCUUGCCCCGGGGCAGAGCCGCGAACGGGUGAGUAACACGUGGGUAACCCACCCGAUGACCGGGACAACCCGAGGAAACUCGGGCUAAUACCGGAUGUGCUCCUUGACCUUGAGGUCAAGGCGUAAAGAUAGCUUCGGCCUUCGCAUCGGGACGGGCCCGCGGCCCAUUAGCUUGUUGGUGGGGUAAAGGCCUACCAAGGCGACGAUGGGUAGCUGGUCUGAGAGGACGAUCAGCCACACUGGGACUGAGACACGGCCCAGACUCCUACGGGAGGCAGCAGUGGGGAAUCUUGCGCAAUGCGCGAAAGCGUGACGCAGCAACGCCGCGUGGGGGAAGAAGGCCUUCGGGUCGUAAACCCCUUUCAGGAGGGACGAAGCCAGGGCGGUGAAUAGCCGACCCUGGUGACGGUACCUCCAGAAGAAGCCCCGGCUAACUACGUGCCAGCAGCCGCAGUAACAC